rnacentral:rRNA from 1 species
UACGAAGGGUGCAAGCGUUGCUCGGAAUUAUUGGGCGUAAAGGGUAGGUAGGUGGUCAUACAAGUCUGGGGUGAAAUCCCUGAGCUCAACUCAGGAAGUGCCUUGGAAACUGUAUUACUAGAGUGCUGGAGAGGUCCGCAGAAUUCCCGGUGUAGCGGUGAAAUGCGUAGAGAUCGGGAGGAAUACCAGAGGCGAAGGCGGCGGACUGGACAGUCACUGACACUCAACUACGAAAGCGUGGGUAGCAAACAGG